rnacentral:lncRNA from 1 species
GAGGUCGUCAUUCUGGGCUGAAAAUUUAUGUGCCUAUUGCUACUAAAUUUAAUGCUCAAGGUGUUGCUGAAGUUUGAGUUUUGAGAAGCAAUUGAAUAGCGAACCUUUAGUGCUCAAGGUGUUGCUGAAGUUCUAAGUUUUGAGAAGCAAUUUAAUAGUGAACUUACCAGCUUAUUUGAAUCUUAGAAUUUUUCAUUUAAAUGAAAGUUGUUGAUGUAAUACAAGUUUCCUAAGCAUUAUUUGUAUUUUUUACAAUAUUUUAUAAAUCUGAAACUGGGUGUGAACAUUAGAACUUGAUUGAAGAAUUUUGAACUCAAAUAAGAGUGUUUUGGAUUGUUAUUGAAGGUUGUUGAAACAACCUGGAAAUUUUUUACUUUUUGCACUAGUUGUAUAGUGAGUGCAAGUUGAUUUUUCUGCACAUUUGAGUUCAGUUGAUUACAAAUAUUUUGGUUAUGUUAACAGGGAAUUACAAGCUGAAAAAUAUUGCUUAAAGUUACUUUGUUUGUUGAUGCUAGUUUAGUUUGAUGUUAUUUGGUCCAUCAGGCUAGAAAUGUGAAUCUGUAAAGUUGUCUGUAGCACAAUUUUUUGCUUGAUUCUAAAUGUUAAUUACAUCUUGAGUUUGAUCCUGCAUAGGUGCUGAGUUUUAAUUAGCAGUCAAGUUACAAUCGUGUUAUUUGGAUUUUUACUCACU